CAAACAAAACCAACUCGAUGGCUGUCUGCUAACCGGUGACAUCUAAGCUGAUCGGAGCAAAUUCCCAUUGUUGCCUACAAAGGCUCCUCCGAGUGUUUCGACACUACCCUAUGUUACCCGGAGGCUGACUUUGUCCCGGAGUGUCAAGGUGCCUUCACUGUACUUCGACUGACUGCUUCCAUUUAUGAAAGACUACCAAGGCGCUUGACUGCUACUGAUACAUGAAGACCCCUGUUUGCUGGCUUCAUCUCAAGAACUUUGCUGCAAAAAUGGCUGCUGUUACUGCUACACCCAGAAAAACCACAGGACAAAACCCACG